GGAGGCAGCAGUGGGGAAUCUUGCGCAAUGGGGGAAACCCUGACGCAGCAACGCCGCGUGGGUGAUGAAGGCCUUCGGGUCGUAAAGCCCUGUCAGGUGGGAAGAAACGUGCUGAUAUGAAUAAUAUCAGCAUUUGACGGUACCACCGGAGGAAGCACCGGCUAACUCCGUGCCAGCAGCCGCGGUAAUACGGAGGGUGCGAGCGUUGUUCGGAAUUAUUGGGCGUAAAGCGCGUGUAGGCGGUCAGGUAAGUCAGAUGUGAAAGCCUUCCGCUUAACGGAAGAAGUGCAUUUGAAACUGCUUGGCUAGAGUACGGGAGAGGAGAGUGGAAUUCCCGGUGUAGAGGUGAAAUUCGUAGAUAUCGGGAGGAACACCAGUGGCGAAGGCGGCUCUCUGGUCCGAUACUGACGCUGAGACGCGAAAGCGUGGGGAGCAAACAGGAUUAGAUACCCUGGUAGUCCACGCCGUAAACGAUGGGCACUAGGUGUAGGAGGUAUUGACCCCUUCUGUGCCGAAGUUAACGCAUUAAGUGCCCCGCCUGGGGAGUACGGCCGCAAGGCUAAAACUCAAAUGAAUUGACG
rnacentral:rRNA from 1 species